GACGAACGCUGGCGGCGUGCUUAACACAUGCAAGUCGAACGGAAAGGCCCUGCUUUUGUGGGGUGCUCGAGUGGCGAACGGGUGAGUAACACGUGAGUAACCUGCCCUUGACUUUGGGAUAACUUCAGGAAACUGGGGCUAAUACCGGAUAGGAGCUCCUGCUGCAUGUUGGGGGUUGGAAAGUUUCGGCGGUUGGGGAUGGACUCGCGGCUUAUCAGCUUGUUGGUGGGGUAGUGGCUUACCAAGGCUUUGACGGGUAGCCGGCCUGAGAGGGUGACCGGCCACAUUGGGACUGAGAGACGGCACAGACUCCUACGGGAGGAAGCAGUGGGGAAUAUUGCACAAUGGGCGGAAGCCUGAUGCAGCAACGCCGCGUGCGGGAUGACGGCCUUCGGGUUGUAAACCGCUUUCGCCUGUGACGAAGCGUGAGUGACGGUAAUGGGUAAAGAAGCACCGGCUAACUACGUG
rnacentral:rRNA from 1 species